CUGGAGGUAGUGUGCGCCAAAACUGUUCGCGGCAUGGCUGCGGGCUUUGGAAUCUCCGGUGGAAGAAUCGGUGCUUGUGGAGAUGAUAAACGAGCCCGUCUCUUCAUCGAAAACAUGAGCAACAGUGACGUAGAUAUUUCCAGAAUGAGAAGGAAGAAAGGAUCUACCGGACAGUGUGCAUGUUUGGUAGAUGCGGGUGGCAACAGAACCAUGCGGCCGUGUCUGUCGACUGCGGUUAUGUUUCCGGUACGAAGGAGACGAAUGGAGUCUUUGAAGAUAGAUGAGUUCAUGAACUUACGAUUGAGUUCAUGAACUUACGAUUGACUUAGCGGAGCGUCUAUCAGGCUGAUGAACUGAACUGAAGACCGAGGCUUUUAAGAGACGCUGAAGAGGAUCAUCCGGAGGCUGCGCUAUGUUUCUUGGCCAAACACUGUAAACACUUGGUUCCAGAGGAUGCAUGACAAAACACGGGAACGAGGUUGGUAUCGUUUGCCAACUCCGUCGAUGUCAUGGAGCAUCAUAUCCUAUUCAGGUCGGAAUGGUUUGCGCGGAUGAACGGUGUCGCUGGUUGUCGUUGUCGUCGUAGGUGGUGAGGGUGGCAGCCAGAGGAGAGACGCGUGCGGUGAAUGCCACGGGAGCCGGGGGAUCUGUUUGCCAGGGGAUUCAUUCUUGUAUGGGCUGGCGAAGGGUCUUCGUCUGGAAGACUGUUGCAAGGUGGGUUGCUGCAGUGGCGGCGCCGUCGUCCGAUCUCUCGGUGGCGAGGUGACGGAGGAUAGCUGGGAAUGGAUGUACAAGCGAACUCAGACCCAUUCGUUCCCUGCUUCUUCCUCCUCCCAACGACCGAGAACCUUGGGAGUCCAUCAAUUUUUGCUUCGUUAAUAAGUAUUACAAUGUAUACAUAUAUUAUUGGCUUUGACGCUUGCAGCCUUUCGCUGCAAAGGUGUUGGGAGACAACGAUGAAUCAGCUCUUCCCGGUUCCAAUUAUUAAUUAUUUCUACC